CUGUCUUCAUUCUUCUUCAGUUUCAUUUCAGGAUCUAAAUCAGAGUCUCCAUUUAAUUCUCUCCAAGCUCUGCAGCCUCAGCUCUACCAUGGUGCACAGGCUUGGAACUUGGAAUCGUGACCAUCUCUCAGGCGAGCACUGUGCAGUAUGACACUCAGCUCCUGGUGAGCCACACAGUCACAGGAAGAAGCAACCCGAGCCUGCUAGGAGGUCAGGUCAGAUAGGUUAGAAGACAGAUGCUGAACACAUGAGGAGAAGGAUGAGGAAGGAUGAUCCACCCCAACCACACUAAUUCCAGAC